rnacentral:rRNA from 1 species
CGCAAGGGUUGGGAAAGAGCGCUUUUAUUAGUUCAAAACCAGUCGGGUUCUCACAAGGAGCUCGUUCGUUGGUGACUCUGGAUAACUUUUUGCCGAUCGCAUGGCCUCGAGCCGGCGACGCAUCUUUCAAAUGUCUGCCCUAUCAAAUGACGAUGGUACGUGAUCUGCCUACCAUGUNGGCAA